UACGAAGGGGGCUAGCGUUGCUCGGAAUCACUGGGCGUAAAGGGUGCGUAGGCGGGUCUUUUAAGUCAGGGGUGAAAUCCUGGAGCUCAACUCCAGAACUGCCUUUGAUACUGAAGAUCUUGAGUUCGGGAGAGGGAUGCGGAAUUCCAGGUGUAGCGGUGAAAUGCGUAGAUAUCUGGAGGAACACCGGUGGCGAAGGCGGCAUCCUGGACCGAUACUGACGCUGAGGAGCGAAAGCCAGGGGAGCAAACGGG
rnacentral:rRNA from 1 species